rnacentral:rRNA from 1 species
UACGUAGGGGGCAAGCGUUGUCCGGACUUAUUGGGCGUAAAGAGCGUGUAGGCGGCUUUGCAAGUCCGUUGUGAAAACUCGAGGCUCAACCUCGAGACGCCGGUGGAAACUGCAAAGCUAGAGUCCGGAAGAGGAGAGUGGAAUUCCUGGUGUAGCGGUGAAAUGCGCAGAUAUCAGGAAGAACACCCGUGGCGAAGGCGGCUCUCUGGGACGUGACUGACGCUGAGACGCGAAAGCGUGGGGAGCAAACAGG